GGGCCCGUGGCCUAGUAUGGACUCAGAGGAAGAUGUCCUCCGGGGUGUUCAUAGGGCACUUGCCUCCUAAGCAAGGAAUCCCAGGUUCAAAUCCUGGCGGGCCCGCCA
rnacentral:tRNA from 1 species